rnacentral:rRNA from 1 species
GACGAACGCUGGCGGCGUGCCUAACACAUGCAAGUCGAACGGGAAAACCCGCAAGGGUGAGUACAGUGGCGCACGGGUGCGUAACACGUGGGUAAUCUGCCCAGAAGCCCGGAAUAACUCCCCGAAAGGGGUGCUAAUGCCGGAUGAGACCACGGGGACUUCGGUUCCUGGGGGAAAAGGUGGCCUCUGUAUACAAGCUAUCACUUCUGGAUGAGCCCGCGGCCCAUCAGCUAGUUGGCGGGGUAAUGGCCCACCAAGGCUACGACGGGUAGCUGGUCUGAGAGGACGAUCAGCCACACUGGAACUGAGACACGGUCCAGACUCCUACGGGAGGCAGCAGUGGGGAAUCUUGCGCAAUGGGCGAAAGCCUGACGCAGCAACGCCGCGUGUGUGAUGAAGGUCUUCGGAUCGUAAAGCACUGUCGGGAGGGACGAAUAAGGGCCGGGUGAACAAUCCGGUUCGACGACGGUACCUCCAGAGGAAGCACCGGCUAACUCUGUGCCAGCAGCCGCAGUAA